rnacentral:lncRNA from 1 species
CUAAACUCUGAGUGUCCAGUUUCUCACUUGUAUAAACUAAAUUGAUAGUGACUGUGAGGGUUGUGAACUGAACAUUAAGUGAAAUCUAUGUAGAGUAGCUAGAAUAGUGGGUAACAUAAUUGCCACAUGAUAAGUGGUGGUUGUUAUUACUGAUAUAGAUGCUGGUGUAGAGCUUUUUGCACUUUUAACUGUUUCUCUUAUUUUCUUUCUGUUAAACAGUUGUACUUGAUAUGCCAUCUAAAGUAAAUAUUCCCCUUAAAUCCACAGGUCUCACUUUCCGAGAAAAGACAGAUUCUACAAUGUGAGGAAGUAGAGGUUCCUGAACAAGCAGUGUCUUGUCGCUCUUGACCAGAGCUCUUAACAAGAUUCAAAGAAGACCUGGAAAAGUCAUUAAGCAGAUGCUGGAGUUACGGGCCAUUUCCCAAGAGCAGCUGAAAAUGACCAAAUCUCAGAAGACACCUGGCAAGUUGAUGAUGAUACAGAUUGACUCCAGGAAAACUCUGACAGACUGGAUCCCAUGGAGAGGCACCAGGAAUGUGAUGUGUUUGGCAGAAUAUUUCACCUGAGAAAAGACUUUGGUCAAUUUGAUUCAGAUGGAAAAACUUUGAAACAUAAUUUAGAUUUACUUUUCCAGAACAGAAAAAAAGUAAAAAAGCUGACAAGUUAAGUCUACUCAAGCAAUUAUUUUUCCACAGUAUGCACAAAAACACCCAUUCUGGAAUUGUUGUGAAUGUGAUUGUAGAGAAGCUGUAAGUAAGACAUUGUGCCUGAAUAUGAGUCAUAUAGAAAUGAAAUUUUAUAAAUGUAGUGAAUGUCAAAGAUGUUUUAACCAUGUGUUACAAAUCCUUCCAUACCAAGAAGUCACAUAGGAAAGAAACCCUAUGGAUGCAGUGAAUGCAGAAAAUUUUUCUCAUAGAACUCACGGGUCAUGGUACACUAGAGAAUUCGCACAGGGGAG